AGAGGUAUAACUCGACGCGGGUGAGUCGACCCGUUGACAGGAAAGUCGUUCUGAAACAGAGAACCUCUGUUGUCGUACACGGAAGCCUUCUCUCGCCGCGGUCGAGGUCGCUCCGCAGCAGGGGACACACCAGUUGUCCGAUAAGGCGUCGCCAGAAACGCAUGUCGGUGUGUCUGUGCACGGAGGGACGAAUCUUAUCUGUUCCCCGAGGUGCCGUGCUUAAUCUCGAAUGGCCAGAAACUGAAGAAGCGCACAUUUAUUGGACAGCGCACAUUCUGCUGCUCAUGAAUCUAGAUAGAUCUGCCUGGAAGUGAUAUCCGUUCGGACGAAACCAGAUCGCGCGGGAAACCAGGACUGCCGCAUUCCUUCCGCGUACUUCAGUGACAUAUAUGGAACUGCAUCAGAGGGGCCAUGCACAUGUACCCUAGUUGUGGCAGCGUGUCGCUGAAAUAUGGGAGCCCACAACCUACAACAGCCAGCCCACAAGAGCACAGGAUGCCCCAUUAUAAAGGAUGCGCCUGGGCUUAGGUACACGACAGUGACCCGGUAUUGACUGUAACAGCACGGCGCGACUUGUAUAGAUUAGAUUAUCUACCGGAUCAGCCCUGUUCGCUGACUAUCCAUUAAGGGUUUCACCGACGAUUCCAGGUGUAGUGGAGGCACACUCUCCCGUAAGGUCGACCCAGGAUGCCCAGUAUAAAGUUCGUUGCGAGCGGGAAUCGCAGGCAAGGCGCUGGGGCAUCUCCUGUCGACCUGGUCGUCCCGUAAUUUUCGUGGGGUCCCUGCAGCUGCCUUCUCUCCCGCGCUUCGCGGCGUUUCUUCUGGAUUAACGUCGGGAUGCCCACGGCGAGGAACAAGAAGAAGAGGCAUGCCAGCAUCACUGCUAGAGGACGGGCAGGUCGGAAGUCCAUCUUGACUCGCUCUGAAAGAAGUCCGUAUGACAGAAAGUGGAGCUACUCAAUAACCAGCUCGAAGGGCUACGGUGAACCAUCAAUCAGGCUCCAUGGCUGCCUCGCCGUCGACCAGUCGUACAGUGUCUCACUGAAACUACGUCGGAAACCCACGCGUCUCACGAAUUCGCAAUCAACGCCCUGUACGUGCUGACACCACCUGCAUCGUCAAGCUCCGAACGCUCCCUGGUACAGAAGUUCAAACGCAUAAUGAUCUUUUUCAUCCCGGUACUUCUGUUGCUGGGUGUUGUAACCUAUUUUGUCAUCAAGCACUUCAGCGGCCGGAAUCAUUACCUGCUCUGCGAUUCGCAAGCUUGUAGUGCGUUCGAAGUAAUGCUCAGUAGGACCAUCAACCACCAUCUCGACCCGUGCGACAACUUCUACGUCUUCGUCUGUGAUGGCUGGAACAGGGCUCAGUUGAAGUCUGUCCUACCGUAGCCACCUGGA